AGCCUGUGGUGUCGUGAGUGUAGUCUGUGAUAAUGUGAGUGUAGCCUGUGGUGUCGUGAGUGUAGCCUGUGGU